CAUAAAGCUUGAUAAAAAACACCUAAAAUAAAAUUAAAAGGCAUAUGCAACACCUACUCUAUAACAAGCGAUACGUAUACUAUACACAUCCCAUCUUUCAUCAUGUGUGACUCAUAAAGUAUUACUUUACAAGUCGCCUCUAAUUCUACAUUAUUAUAGGCGACACCUUUGGUCCUUUGCCAAGUUAAGAAAGCAGCUUAAAACAAAAACCCUAGAAUCCUCAUUCAUUUAUUCAUUCAUUCAUUCCCUUGUCUUUUUUUGUUUCAUCCUCGCCUCCCUCAUUCAUUCCCUUGGUGUUUUUGUUCCUUCCUCUCAUCGCCUCUCACCGACAAUGACUACCACCUUCUACUUGUCUCCAUUGUCAGCCACGGAUUUAUUUCUCUUCUUCAAUCUCUCAUUCCUCUUUCUCACCUCAAAAGGAUCAACAAAGGAGGAGAGACAAAAUCCCUUACAACUUUCGUGUUUUCUCUCACUAAUUCAUCAUUUCAUCUUCACUUUCUUUCUCCUUUUCGACUACGACGACGACUUUCUUCCAUUUCUGGUUACUUGAGUAUGUGUUACAAUCGUUAGUUGUGGCAGUUGAGGUAGAUAUGUCGUGGUUGAUCUUGCAGCUGAAUAAUGGAUUUGGUGGCUAAAUGUAAGUUUAUUUUAUGACAGGGCAAAUCACAAGGUGAGCAUGAAGCAAGUAGGAGACUUAAAGACUCAGAUUCUCAUUGAGAUUGAAAGCUUUGAUAGUUAAGUGAUCAGAUUCUGUAUAUAGGUGAAUGUUCAUAUUUUUAUGGCAGAUUCCUAGAAGUUUUACCAUUUAAGUUUUUGAAAGCCUAUUAGCUCAAAUGGUAGAGCAAUGUGCUAUUGCACAUAGAUGUAGGUUCAAGUCCUACAUAGGUUUUAAUUAUAUACAGUAGCAAGCUAAGUGUGAAUUUAAUGAGGAAAAAAACAGUAUUUUGUGCAUCGCCA